AUUGUACAGCCGAUACCAUCCUUGGACUGCUGCUCCCUUCAUCUUCGCUGUAGAUCAGAUGACUUUCUCGGUGAACCGGUGACUGUUCAAAGUACCGUCUCCAUCGGCGAACGCCAUAAAAUGAAUUCUCCUUUGUUUUUGAUCUCUCCCCUCCUCAACUCCUAAUCUUAAUCUAAAUUGUGUAGCGUCAACGAUCGUCUUUAAUCUCUCGAGGGUAUGUUAGAGAAACCCAAUUUCUUUCUGUUAACGGCUAGUUUGUUUUUAGUCUGAUUUCUUCCUUAAAUUUUCUGGGUCUCUUUUUCUAGGAUCAUUUGAUUAACUUUUGAAUUGAUUCUGCCUGCCUUUGACUUUCUUUUAUGUUGCAUUCGUCAUUCUCUGUUCUGCCG
rnacentral:misc_RNA from 1 species